UACAGAGGUCUCAAGCGUUGUUCGGAUUCAUUGGGCGUAAAGGGCGCGUAGGCGGCGGGGUAAGUCGGGUGUGAAAUCUCAGGGCUCAACCCUGAAACUGCACUCGAUACUGCUCUGCUUGAGGACUGGAGAGGAGACUGGAAUUCACGGUGUAGCAGUGAAAUGCGUAGAUAUCGUGAGGAAGACCAGUGGCGAAGGGCGGG
rnacentral:rRNA from 1 species